rnacentral:rRNA from 1 species
GAGACAGCAGCCGCCGCGGGAAUACAGAGGGUGCGAGCGUUAAUCGGAUUUACUGGGCGUAAAGCGUGCGUAGGCGGCUUCUUAAGUCGGAUGUGAAAUCCCUGAGCUUAACUUAGGAAUUGCAUUCGAUACUGGGAAGCUAGAGUAUGGGAGAGGAUGGUAGAAUUCCAGGUGUAGCGGUGAAAUGCGUAGAGAUCUGGAGGAAUACCGAUGGCGAAGGCAGCCAUCUGGCCUAAUACUGACGCUGAGGUACGAAAGCAUGGGGAGCAAACAGGAUUAGAUACCCUGUAGUCCCUGUCUCUUAUACC